CAGAAGGGAUGGGACCCGAGAAAAGGGUGCGAAGGAGACCCCAGUAGGGGCAGGACACUGCAGGUAAAGAAGGGAAAGAAGAGGCCGAGAAGUCAAGGGCCAGGCUGUGAAGGAGAAUAAAGGAGGUCAAAGAGAGGUCAUAUCUUCGUACCUCACUUCCUGACACAAACAAGUUUUUACUGUUGUCAGCAACAAAGCCCUAAUAUAGCUGCGGAAGAGAAAAACUGCAUUGCAUUUAGCCUCCUGCAAGCAUCAUCAACAGUUACUGGAGGAAUGUAAUUCCAGAAAGCUUUAAAGCUGGUGGUGAUGGUAAUUAUGUAUCAAAUGCCUGAUUCUAUUUCUGUUAUUAUUGUUUUGUCAUUUCUGUUCUACCCAAGAGCUGGCUGAACUCGCAGGGAGAAAUCCGGGUUUUCUUUUAGACUUUGUAAAAAUUAAUCAGCCCCGGUAGAAAACUCAUUGCUCUCGGGGAGAAUAAAGUAGGAGCCACGAAAUGUCAUUUUAGCAGAGCGUGGGUUUUGCGACUGUAGGAAAGGAUUUAAGGACGCGCCUUCUGUUCGGUUUCCUAUGUAACGAGCAAAGGCUACACGCACGCACAGACGCCACAGCUCCCGGAUGCUGUGGCUCCCUUAUCUGGGCUUCUGCAGCUCCAGAAGCCCCUUCGGGAUGCUGCGAGGGGCUCCCGGUGGGUGGUGGUAGGAACGCUGCGGCCGCCGCCGCCGCCACUCCUGCCGCUGCUGCUGUUGUUGCUGCUGCAGUCACGUGGGAGCCCCUUUAAGUUUCCAUAGAGAGGCCUCUCCGGUGUCACAUGAUGGACAUGAUAUAAUGAAACAACAUUGUGGAGAGGAAAGCAUUAGGGGAGCCCACGGCUACAAAAACAAGUGAGUGAGAAGAGGUGGGAGGAAGAGAAACUACGCCACCUCCCCUGCAGCCGAGCCGCACGCAGCAGCCGGCGAGAAGUGGGCGACGCCGGGGGGCAGGGAGACGGGGUCCUCGGCCCCGGCCCGGGGACCCUGCCGCCUACCGCGGACAGCACAACUUUUAGCCGGCAGCCUCGGCCACCACCGCACCUGUCUCCGGAGCCUCCAUCGCUCCUCGUGACGAUCCAAGGGAAAUUCUAGAAGAAUACGCUCUACAAAUAUACAUGCGCAUCAUUUUCCUCCUUGCGUCUCGCUCUAGAAGGAAAGAGAAAGGGAUUCGAGCGGCAGCGUGCGUUCCGCCCCAAGGGAGAAAAUUCAAGACGUUAUAUACCACUCCUCCCGUUUUAAAUACUGAUUCAGCUCGAAGCUAGGCUGAAGGUUGGAAAAUGGAAAUUCAGGAGGAAAAGUAAAAGUUGGCCAGUGACGACCUGUGACCAGUACGCAGGGAGGCUGCCUCUGGACCUCAGGCUUCGGACCGUGGCUUAUGCUGCUGGAAUUAGGCCUUUACCUAAGGGCCCCAUCUUUGUGUGACUCGGAGUCCUUCUCUGUUUGCCUACCAGCCUGCGAAUUUAACUGCGUGUAUUUACGCAUUUUAUUAAUGCUUUUGAAGAUUAGAAGAUAUUUUGCCUUCUGGAGUUUUCUGACUCACUGCUGAUGAUCUGAGCUUGAGCUGAGGGCUGCCCGGUUAGGGGAGAUGAUCAGUAAGCCUCUGUAACAUUCAAGUGAGUAGAGAUGCCGCUGUGCACUGUGUUUAACUGCUUAAGAAGAAAGUAAAAUUUCGUGACGUUAAAGGUUUAAAGUAUUAUGCAUUUUAAUUGGAUCCUUUAAGUUUUGUUGUUGAGUAAUGAUGGCAGUUAUUGUAAUUCCAACAAGUUGAGUAUUUGUAAGUAAUGGGAUUCCAGAAGAAAUUAAUCCCCUGAUGAUAAAAAAAAAGUUUGUGAAAAUAUUUUCCAUGAAUAAUACUUGAGCUUGUAAUUAAUCUAGUGAAGACCUAAGUGCGUAUAUUAGAAACUUAAAAGCGUUCUCCCUGGUGCUUUAUUUUACUUUUAUGUUAUGAAAUGCAAAAUUAUUGGUAAGGCAACUCAUAAAUUUUAAAAAUACGGCUGUAUCUGUACCGAAGUUGUCUUUUAACAUAGACUAUAUUUUGGUUAACUUGAAAUAAAUACUGGUUUGUUUUGUAGAAGUAGAAUUUUAAUAGCUCUUAAUAUUUGAAAUAACGAUUUUUCCCCCUACUAAUAGAGAUAAAAACACAGAAUCUCUCCGGAUUUAACUUUCUUUUUUAAUUGAGGAGACUAAGAAGGAAGGGCAUCCAUACUUUCUAAUCAAAACAUAUGGAUGAAAUUUAAAGAGUUGAGCCAGUAAUCUUGAUAGAAAUUGUUUCUCAGAAUGAAAGCUAUUUCUCCUCUUCUUAUAGCAGUUGAACCUGUUUUAACAAAACUAGGAAACCAUGAGGUUGUACCGUGGUCUUGAAUUGUGAAGUUAAAAAUGAUUAAUAAAUAUACAGGUGUUUCCCUCUAUGAUGGGUUAAAUUUGGUUGCUAUCUGUGCUGUCCCAAAUGGUAGCCACUGGCCACAUGUAGCCACUGACAUUUGAAAUGUGGCUAGCACCACUGGGAUGUGUUGUGCAUAACAUACACACUACAUUCAAAGACUUACAUGAAAGAAAACCCUGUAAAAUAUUUUAUUAAUAAUUUUUGUAUGAGUCACAUAUUGAAAUGACAAUAUUUUGGCUAUAUUAGGUUAAACAAACCUCUUAAAAAUUUCACUUGCUUUCUUUUGUGUUUUUAUGUGACUGCUGGAAAAUUCUAAAUUACUUGUAGAUUACAUUAUAUUUCUAAUGGACAGAAGUAGUCAUAUGUGAUCAACAUUCUUAGUGAUCCAUUACUCACCAUUCUGUAGGCUUGAGUCUUCUGGUGUGUGUAUGGAUCAGUCAGUAUAAAUCUAUAUUAUAAAUGUAUAUAUAUGUAUAAAUCUAUAUAUAUGGUUCUUUGAUUCAUCAGAUAGUUCCUAAUAUCUACCAUGUGCCAGACAGUAUUCUAGUCACUGGCCGUACAGUACAGAACAAAAUAAACCAUCCUGGGGCGCCUGGGUGGCUCAUUCCAUUAAGUGUCCCAACUUUUGAUUUUAGCCCAGCUCUUGAUUUCAGCAUUGUGAGUUCAAGCCUCAUGCUGGGCUCCAUACCGGGUGUGGAGCCUACUUAAAAAAAAAAAAAUGUCCUCCUUUUCAUGGAGUUAGCAAUGGAGACUAAACACAGACUAAAAACAAAGAAGAAAAAAAUAUAUAAUCUAUUAGAAAGCUAUAAGCACUCUGGAAACAAGGUAGGGUGUUCAAGAAAAGCCUCACUGAGGAAGGUGAGAGAAGGACCCUGUAGAGAUCUUAGGGAAGAGUGUUCCAGGCAUGGGGAGUAGAAACACAAAGCUUUUGUGGCAGGAGUGUGCUUGGCUUGUUCAAGUGGUGGUGGAAGGAGGUGUGGUGAUGGUUUGGAGUGGAGUGAGUGAGGGGGAGAGGAGAUGAAAGGUAAUGCAUGGUCAUAGCAGGUGAGCGUUUGCAAGGAUUCAGUAAGGUGGAGCUCCCUUGGUGGGUUUUGAGAAGAGAAGUGACUGGAUCUUCCUGUGGAAGCUGUUUCAACUGGACUUCUCUGAGGGGAGGGUGGGAGCAUUUCCAAGGGUGGCAGCAGAGAGCCCCAAGGCUGCUGCCGUGACCCGUGUGAGAGAUGGUGGACCCGGAGCCCAUAAACAAGGAAAGUGAAGAGAAGGGAGGGAAUUCUAGUUACCCCUUACUGUGGAACUGGAUGUAGAGUGAGAGAGAAAGAGAUGUGUCAAGAAUGACUCCAUUUGCAGCUUGAACCACUGAAGAAUGGAGUUGCCGUUUGAGUUGGCUUGGAGUGAACAGGAUGACGAGGGGGCUGCUCAGUUUUGGACACGUUCAGUUGGAGAUUCCUCUUCAGACCUCUGAGUGGGAAGGUCAAGUAGGCAGAGUCUGGAGUUCAGCGAGCGUCAGGGCUGAAGAGGCGAAUUUGAAAUCAUAAGCAAUUACUAUUACUUUAAAGCCCUAAGAAGAGUUGAAGCCACCAAAGGAGUGAGAAGAGACGGAAAAGGGGAGAGGGAGUGGGCAGUAGUUCAGGAACACCGUCUGCGCUCAGAGAGGCCCACUGGACCCGUGUUGUCGAAUUAGCAUCUGUCUUCUCCAGGGCAGCAGUGAUGCGGUAGCCACGUGGGAGAUGCUUUUAUCUCUGGAAGCUGCACACUGACGUAUUCAGGGGGGAAGUGUCCUAUGUCUCUCUUCCCCUUUUGGAUGGUCUGACACAAAAGAACUGUAGAAAAAACUGGAAGGAGUGUGCUAAAAUGUCAGCGUGUAGGACUUCAGCUGAAUACCUGAAUACUUUGAACUUUUCUGCAGCUUCAAAGUUGUUUUUAAAAGCACCUCUGAAGAGGGACAAGUGUGAGGGUGGUGGGCUGCUGGUUUUCAUAAGUCUCGCUGAGUGUUUGACGCUACACACUCCAUACAUGUUUGACUUGGGUAAGAAUAGAAAACAAUAAAAUAAGUCAGCUGGUAGGGGAAGCGUGGUGACUUUGGGAAAUGUUACCUAAUAACCAAAUCAGUUCUUUGGAAAUUAGUACUUUUUAAAUAUGGCCGUUGAGUCUGAGGGCUGGAAUUUACCUUGGAGCACCGCUCAGCCUGCCUCAUCCAUGCUAGGGAUUAAUAAAAUGAAGUUCAAGGAAGUGAAAUGACUUGCACAGGGUCACGUGCCCGUGUCGCAGCAGAGCCAGAUCUGAAAACUGCAUCUUUGUACUUUGGUUUCAAUCAUUUAAAAAAAAAAAAAAAAAAGGAACGAAAGGACAGAGAGAGGUCUAGGACCUGAGCCAGGGACCACUGCAACAACUGGAGUCUCAACACGAGAGCCUGAGGAACAGAUGAGAAGGUAGGCAUUGGGAUAUUCUAGUCACCAAGGGCGGAAGUGUUGUGAGAAGCAAGGAUAACUGGCCUCGUCAAAUGCUGCUGGUGCGUUAGAUACGACGUGAGGUGGAAAUCGAGCAUGGGAUUCAGCAGCGAGGAGGUUAUUAGCAAGGUCGACAAAAGGUUUUCGUGAAGUGGUGGAGGAAAAAGCCCGAAUGAAACCGGUUCAAGGGAGAGUUGGAGGAGGUGCCCCGAAGAGGGUGAGUGUAGACCCUCUUCUGAGGAACUGUGGAGGCAACGGGGGGCGGUCAAGGAAGUGUUUGAUGUUUACCAGAUGGGAGAAAUUACUUUUUUUCCAAUGUGUGUAUUAAGAAAGAUUUCAAGAUACUCUUCUGAAAUGACCCACCAGGUUUGUGACACUUAAGACUACCACCGUGUGUGUGUGUGUGUGUGUGUGUGUGUGUUUAGUGUUUCCCUCCUAGGGGGGUUUCCUAGAACAGUGCUUUGUACUGUGUGUGUGUGUGUGUGUGUGUGUGUGUGCGCGUGCAUAUGUGCACAGGUGUGGAGAGGUUGGCAUUAUGUUAAAGGUUGCUUUUGUAUAGUUGUUAGAAAAGUUGGCCUCAUUUCUUCUUGCUCAGGGAGUGCAUUCACACUGCUAUAAUUAGAAUUUUAGAAUUUUCAAGGAAAUAUGUGUUAAGCCUGUUCUCAAUCGAAAGUGUUGAGAAAGCGAUUGUUUGGGGGGUAAUCUCUUCCCCUUACCUUUUUUUUUUUUUUUUUUUUUUUUGGAAAGACUUUAUUUAUUUGAUAGUGAGCACUAGCAGGGGGAGCAGCUGA